GCUUGUCUCAAAGAUUAAGCCAUGCAUGUCUCAGUAUAAGUUCUUAUAUGGCGAAACUGCGAAUGGCUCAUUACAACAGUUAUAGUUUAUUUGAUACAUUUUAAAUGGAUAACUGUAGAAACACUAGAGCUAAUACAUGCUAAGACCGUAAGGUUGUAUUUAUUAGAUAUACCGAGUAGGUGAAUCAUAAUAACUUCGCAAAUCGCAGUAAUACUGCGAUAAAUCAUUCAAGUUUCUGCCCUAUCAUGCUCUCGAUGGUAGUGUAUUGGACUACCAUGGCUCUCACGGGUAACGGGGAAUUAGGGUUCGAUUCCGGAGAAGGAGCCUGAGAAACGGCUACUACAUCUAAGGAAGGCAGCAGG
rnacentral:rRNA from 1 species